AUUGAACGCUGGCGGAAUGCUUUACACAUGCAAGUCGAACGGCAGCACGGGGCAACCUGGUGGCGAGUGGCGAACGGGUGAGUAAUACAUCGGAACGUGCCCAAUCGUGGGGGAUAACGUAGCGAAAGUUACGCUAAUACCGCAUACGAUCUAAGGAUGAAAGCGGGGGAUCGAAAGACCUCGCGCGAAUGGAGCGGCCGAUGUCAGAUUAGGUAGUUGGUGGGGUAAAGGCUCACCAAGCCGACGAUCUGUAGCUGGUCUGAGAGGACGACCAGCCACACUGGGACUGAGACACGGCCCAGACUCCUACGGGAGGCAGCAGUGGGAAAUUUUGGACAAUGGGCGCAAGCCUAAUCCAGCCAUUCCGCGUGCAGGAUGAAGGCCUUCGGGUUGUAAACUGCUUUUGUACGGAGCGAAAAGGCUCUCUCUAAUACAGGGGGCUCAUGACGGUACCGUAAGAAUAAGCACCGGCUAACUACGUGCCAGCAGCCGCGGUAAUAC
rnacentral:rRNA from 1 species